UUACUGAAUUCUGGAAAUGACUUCCGAGUACCAUCAUUUCAACACCUGCCACCAAUACAGUUUGCUCUUUUGGAGUAUGCCCUAGUGUCAGUUGUAUGACUCAAUAACUCUUUCUUUUCACGUGGGGUUUUCUGUCCUGAGGCUUCAUGCUAUGACUGUAUUUAUAUUUCAAAAGAAGGGAAAUAGAUGUUUCGUAUUAAAUUCCAAAUGGGAAGUUUAAUGUGUGCGUUGGCAUAUUUAGGAUAAGGAUGAAGCUAUCCUGGCCAAAAAAUUUGAGAAAGACAACACUUUUCACUCUGAAGGACCAAAAGAUGGGUAGAAAAUUUGGGAUAAAUGUGAACAAGAUUUGAUCCAUAAGGAAAAACAAAUAGUUAGACCUCCAUAUUCAUUCAGCUGGGAAACUAAAACUGUGCAAUCCCACUAUCAGAAAUUGCUCAGUCAGCUCGCUAUUCUUCUAAGUAACAGUGUCAUCCCCAUACCAACCGCAGAGAAAGCUGUGAAAGAGAGAAUUCAGGAAACCGGUGCAAAUGAGCAAUCUUGGAAGUCUAGAAUGGAAAGUCUUCAGUGGGAAAUUCAGAUGCUCACUCAGCAAAUGGAGCAGCUGUACCAUCCUUAUGAAGAAAAUGUUUGUGAAUCAUCCCAAGAUGAAGAAACUAUAGGGAACAAAGAAGACUCUUGAAAUAUCCGGAAGGAAAAAUUGCUUUCAACAUGGAUGUUUCUGGGCACCUGACUUCUGUUCCAAGUCUGGGAUAUAUGAGGCAUAAAAGAAAACCCAGGCAACUAACCACCAUGGUGUUCCUCAGAGCCCAAGGUCACUGGCUGGCCUGCUUUCUUCUCUCUGCCUUUCAGAGUCUUAUGUUUGUUUUAGAUACAAUGUCCAGGGUUUUAAGUUGUACUUAAGUAGCAGUAGGAAUAGGGAAAAGUAUAUCUACUCUAUGUUCCCAGAGCACAAGUCCCAUCUUCAGUUAUUGAUGUUACUGUGUUGUUUAUGUCUUGCUAAGGUAUUGUGGCCAAAUCAUUUUCAACGAGAUAAAGUGUUGCUAUUAUUGUAAGACCAUUGUUGUACAUUUGGCAAAUCUUAAUCACAUUCAGUGGCCUGAGAUGCUUGGUGAAUACAACUUUUUAAUAUGUGGAAAUAUUUUAAGUAUUGGCUUAGAACAGACUACUUCUAUAAUAGCAAAAGAUUUGUCUUAAUUUCACUUGUGAGUAGAUAUUUGUACAUAACAGUUUAGUUGACAAAUAAAAUAUGGUAGUUUAAUUCUUCAAAGGCAGUUUACAGACUUGCUUUUGAUUAAUUACAAAUAUUUCAACCCUGUAUUUGAUUUAACAGACAAAUGAAUAGGUGGAAGAGAAACAUUGCAAACAAGGAGUAUAAAUGUGUAUUCAAAUAACAACUUUAAUAAUUAAAUUAUGCCUUCCAUUUUUUCUGACAAGAAUGUCACAUCUAUCCCUCACAGAUAAACUGAUUGUUCUAGUAAUCUGAAAUAAAUGGUCUGAGAUUGUGAGUUACAUUUUGAAGUCCUUUCAGUUUAGUCAGAAGGAGUGACUGUAUCAUACACCCACUUCUAAGGAAUAAAUAUGGCUAUUCUGCCCAGGAAAAAGUCUAUGUUCUAGUUUUUCCUAAUAAUUUUCCCCUCGUGUUCACAUAGCUUUAUAGCAGUGUUUUCAUAAACAAUGCAUUGUUCUACGCCUAGAAUUGCUAUAUGUUCACAGCACAGGGGUGAGACUUCUUGAAGUCUCCAAUGUUCAUCAUCAUUGACUAUAUCACUGAGCAAUAGCCAGUAGAGAAUGUAGCUUGGAAAAAAUGUAGGCUUUUAAAAUGCAAAGCAAAAUCAUUCUACUAGCUGGGAAACAAACAGCAGGUUUUGAAAUCUCAAGAGGCCCAAAUAUGAAUUUAAGUUAGAGUUUUAGAAGGUAACGUAAGUUCUCCUCUUAAUGCUUCUUAAUAUAAUUUUCUUUGGUAUUCCUUAACACUCUCUAAGCCAAUAGUGCUCCACAAUUAUUUUAAAAUCAAUCCCUAAGUCAAUAUCCUUUCUCUGUAAUUUUAGCAUCUUCCAGUCUCCUAAGCACAGCUGCAAGUUGAAACGAUUUUGAACUGUGGGCAAAAAUCUAAUACAAAAAAAAAGUGGCUUCAUUUUGCAGGGAAGAGAGUACUAGGUAAUUGACAGAGAAUGACCAGGAACAUGAACAUAGGAGUAGGUCAGACAGAUUGAAUUGUUAAGUAUUUUGAAUGCACCAUAAAUGAGAUUUUGAACUCAAUAUGCCAUUUUUGUUGCAUCUAAUAAGGAUUUUUAAGGAUAGAGGCAAGAUGGAAAAAUGUACCACUGCUUUGCUUAGCCCUGCUAAAGCAAAUGGAAGUGCUCUGUGUGAAAAUUCCCAAGAAUCUUUUGCAAAAGACAAACUGCA